GAAAACCCUGGAAGCCCUCCCCUGGGCUGGGAACGGGCGUUUGUGCCGCCGGUUCACGGCUGGUUAUCCCAAAAACAUCAGCGAUGAGCUACAGCCUUCCCGUGUCUGAACGGGGCCUGCCGGCACGCUGGAGAGUGUUCGUCAGAGAUUGCAGUGAUUGGACAUGGGGCAACGGGUUCAAACUUAAACAGGGAAGUUCAGGUUAGAUGUAAGGAAGAAGUUCUUUACUGUGAGGAGCGAUUUCAAUUGCCAUGUACUAAGAUGAGUUAUAACAACAUUUCAUCUAUCAAUAUAGAUAAAAUACAUAAACCAUGGAGUAAAUACUGAAAAAGCAGUCACAUAGAUUCUUCAACAAAAGCAAGUAUUAAUGCAGAAAUAGUAAGUCUCUCCCUUAUGUACAUAAACCAUACUUGCCUUUUGCAGGUAUCUUUGAAGAAACAACACACAUCUGGGAGAAUCAUUUAAGAAGUUCAAAGUAGAAACUGGAAACAUGAGGUUCAAAAUCAAAUGAAUGAAAAUAAUGUCGAAAAUGAAAAACAAAAGACUGAAGACUACGUCUAUUAUUGCCAUCACAGCAAGCUGCAUAUGCACAAAUGACCAGUUGAAGUUACUUCAAAAUAUGAUUCAUCUAACAAAAAAUAAUUUUCAUCUAACAAAAGAGCCACUGAGAUAAACGUAACAUAUGACUUCAAUAUACAUUGCCUAACACGCUUUGGGAAACUUUUCCAAUUAAACCAUCAAACA
rnacentral:lncRNA from 1 species